rnacentral:rRNA from 1 species
GACGAACGCUGGCGGCGUGCCUAAUACAUGCAAGCCGAACGCUGCUUAAGAAGAAACUUCGGUUUUUUCUUAAGCGGAGUGGCGGACGGGUGAGUAACACGUGGGGAACCUAUCUAUCAGCGGGGGAUAACACUUGGAAACAGGUGCUAAUACCGCAUAUGGCUUUUUUUCACCUGAAAGAAAGCUCAAAGGCGCUUUACAGCGUCACUGAUGGCUGGUCCCGCGGUGCAUUAGCCAGUUGGUGAGGUAACGGCUCACCAAAGCAACGAUGCAUAGCCGACCUGAGAGGGUGAUCGGCCACACUGGGACUGAGACACGGCCCAGACUCCUACGGGAGGCAGCAGUAGGGAAUCUUCGGCAAUGGACGCAAGUCUGACCGAGCAACGCCGCGUGAGUGAAGAAGGUUUUCGGAUCGUAAAGCUCUGUUGUCAGCAAAGAACAGGAGAAAGAGGAAAUGCUUUUUCUAUGACGGUAGCUGACCAGAAAGCCACGGCUAACUACGUGCCAGCAGCCGCGGUAAUACGUAGGUGGCAAGCGUUGUCCGGAUUUAUUGUGCGUAAAGCGAGCGCAGGCGGUGAUUUAAGUCUGAUGUGAAAGCCCCCAGCUCAACUGGGGAGGGUCAUUGGAAACUGGAUCACUUGAGUGCAGAAGAGGAAAGUGGAAUUCCAUGUGUAGCGGUGAAAUGCGCAGAGAUAUGGAGGAACA